UUAUGGUGUAAUGAAAUGUGUUUAUGCAGUUUAAGGUUAAAAAACACUUUAUUUUCCACAUAAUGUACAUUACUGUUGCUCCUCUAUGCCCCGCCUUCUGAAACGUGUUGAUUUUUACAAAGUUCAUCAUUCUGAAAAGCGAGAAACAGUUUCUCCCUGCAGCAAAGUCAGAUUGUGCAGAAGAAUCAUCUGUUUCCUGUGGUCUUGUCCCGGUGGUCGUCUGAGACAAGGUCUUUACAGGGGAUCUGUCUCUGGGGUCUUGUCCCGGUGGUCGUCUGAGACAAGGUCUUUACAGGGGAUCUGUCUCUGGGGCUCUAGUCCUGGUCUCCGCUGUCUUUCAGGGCUGUAGAGGUCCUUUCUAGGUGCUGAUCCACCAUCUGGGCUGGAUACAUACUGGAUCCGGGUGACUGCAGUGACCAUCUGACUUGGAUACAGACUGGAUCUGGUGGCUACGGUGACCUCGGAAUAAGAGAGAAACAGACUAAUAUGAGCGUACAUUCUAACGAUGUAGCAAGUACAUCGGGUGUUAUGGGAAGUGUUCCCGGUUCCGGUUUAAUCGGUGCAUUAAUUAGGUUAAUGCAGCCUAAAAAUCCUUUAACGGAUUUCGAUAUUAGAAGUGUAUUAGUAUGUUAUGUGUAAGCCAGGUUAAAGAGAUGGGUCUUUAAUCUAGAUUUAAACUGCAAGAGUGUGUCUGCCUCCCGAACAAUGUUAGGUAGGUUAUUCCAGAGUUUAGGUGCUAACUAGGAAAAGGAUCUGCUGCCCGUAGUUGAUUUUGAUAUUCUAGGUAUUAUCAAAUUGACAGAGUUUUGAGAACGGAGUGGACGUGGAGGACUAUAAUGUAAUACGAGCUUGUUCAAAUACUGAGGUGUUAAACCAUUCAGGGCUUUAUAAGUAAUACGCAAGAUAUUAAAAUCUAUACAAUGUUUAAUAGGGAGCCAGUGCAGUGUUGACAGAACUGGGCUAAUAUGGUCAUACUUCCUGGUUCUAGUAAGAACUCUAGCUGCUGCGUUUUGGACCAGCUGGAGUUUGUUUAUUAAGUGUGCAGAACAACCAGCCAAAUAAAGCAUUACAAUAAUCUAACUUUGAGGUCA
ensembl:lncRNA